UACGUAGGGGGCAAGCGUUGUCCGGAAUCAUUGGGCGUAAAGCGUGCGCAGGCGGUUGUGCAAGACAGGUGUGAAAUCCCCGGGCUUAACCUGGGAACUGCACUUGUGACUGCACAGCUGGAGUGCGGCAGAGGGGGAUGGAAUUCCGCGUGUAGCAGUGAAAUGCGUAGAUAUGCGGAGGAACACCGAUGGCGAAGGCAAUCCCCUGGGCCUGCACUGACGCUCAUGCACGAAAGCGUGGGGAGCAAACAGG
rnacentral:rRNA from 1 species